UACGGGGGGGGCAAGCGUCGUUCGGAAUUACUGGGCGUAAAGCGUGCGCAGGCGGUUGUGCAAGACCGAUGUGAAAUCCCCGGGCUUAACCUGGGAAUGGCAUUGGUGACUGUACGGCUAGAGUGUGUCAGAGGGGGGUAGAAUUCCACGUGUAGCAGUGAAAUGCGUAGAGAUGUGGAGGAAUACCGAUGGCGAAGGCAGCCCCCUGGGAUAACACUGACGCUCAUGCACGAAAGCGUGGGGAGCAAACAGG
rnacentral:rRNA from 1 species